AUUGAACGCUGGCGGCAUGCUUUACACAUGCAAGUCGAACGGUAACAGGUUAAGCUGACGAGUGGCGAACGGGUGAGUAAUGCAUCGGAACGUGCCCGGUCGUGGGGGAUAACGCAGCGAAAGCUGCGCUAAUACCGCAUACGAUCUGAGGAUGAAAGCGGGGGACCGUAAGGCCUCGCGCGAUCGGAGCGGCCGAUGUCAGAUUAGGUAGUUGGUGGGGUAAAGGCUCACCAAGCCAACGAUCUGUAGCUGGGCUGAGAGGACGACCAGCCACACGGGGACUGCGACACGGCGCAGACUCCAACGGGAGGCAGCAGUGGGGAAUUUUGGACGAUGGGCGAAAGCCUGAUUCAGCAAUGCCGCGUGCAGGAAGAAGGCCUUCGGGUUGUAAACUGCUUUUGUACGGAGCGAAAAGGUCUCCUCUAAUACAGGGGGCUCAUGACGGUACCGUAAGAAUAAGCACCGGCUAACUACGCGCCAGCCGCCGCGGUAA
rnacentral:rRNA from 1 species